GACGAACGCUGGCGGCGUGCUUAACACAUGCAAGUCGAACGGAAAGGCCCUGCUUUUGUGGGGUGCUCGAGUGGCGAACGGGUGAGUAACACGUGAGUAACCUGCCCUUGACUUUGGGAUAACUUCAGGAAACUGGGGCUAAUACCGGAUAGGAGCUCCUGCUGCAUGGUGGGGGUUGGAAAGUUUCGGCGGUUGGGGAUGGACUCGCGGCUUAUCAGCUUGUUGGUGGGGUAGUGGCUUACCAAGGCUUUGACGGGUAGCCGGCCUGAGAGGGUGACCGGCCAUAUUGGGACUGAGAGACGGCCCAGACGCCUACGGGAGGCAGCAGGGGGGAAUAUGGCACAGUGGGCGGAAGCGUGAUGCGGCAACGCCGCGUGCGGGAUGACGGCCUUCGGGUUGUAAACCGCUUUCGCCUGUGACGAAGCGUGAGUGACGGUAAUGGGUAAAGAAGCACCGGCUAACUACGUG
rnacentral:rRNA from 1 species